GACGAACGCUGGCGGCGUGCUUAACACAUGCAAGUCGAGCGAGGCCCCUCCUUCGGGAGGGUGUCCUAGCGGCGAACGGGUGAGUAACACGUGGGCAACCUGCCCUCAGCUCUGGGAUAACUCCGGGAAACCGGGGCUAAUACCGGAUACGACCUCCCCGGGCAUCUGCGGAGGUGGAAAGUUUUUCGGCUGAGGAUGGGCCCGCGGCCUGUCAGCUAGUUGGUGGGGUAGUGGCCCACCAAGGCGACGACGGGUAGCCGGCCUGAGAGGGCGACCGGCCACACUGGGACUGAGACACGGCCCAGACUCCUACGGGAGGCAGCAGUGGGGAAUAUUGCGCAAUGGGCGAAAGCCUGACGCAGCGACGCCGCGUGAGGGACGAAGGCCUUCGGGUUGUAAACCGCUUUCAGCAGGGACGAAGCGAAAGUGACGGUACCUGCAGAAGAAGCACCGGCCAACUACGUG
rnacentral:rRNA from 1 species